CUUUGAAAAGUGUGUUACACUGUAGUUGUUAAAUAAAGCAAUAACCUAUGCACUUGUAAUGCUUUCUCUAUGACCUACUUACAUACUACUUCACCCUCCUUAUAGUAUGAUUAAAAGCUGCUUUGAAUCCACUAUUCCCUCAAGGGAUUUGAGGCUAGAAUUUAACAAACUGCUGAGAAGGCUUAAGUCAGUAAGAGGGCUUCCCUACAGCUUCUUCCAGCUAAUUCACAUGUAAUUAAAAGGAAAAUAAAUAUUUCAAAAGAACAUACGUUCUAAUGAAGCAUUUUUAAACACUUACACCUUGUGAAAUGGGGUAGAUCUAUAAAGAUCUCGGUAUCUCAUGGUCAGAUUUCUAACAAAAUUAUUUGCGAUGCUUCCCCCUUCCCCACCCUUUCCAUCCUAUGACUUUUCAGCCAGCAGCAGUGGGAAUGCAGACCUUGAAAGUGGCUGGGGAGAGUGACGUCUCUCAGAUGUAGUACCAGCAAAGCAAUGGAGAGGUACGGAUCCAGCCACACGGGGUGAAGGGAGGGUGGAGACUUCUUACAGAAAUAUCUUCAUCCUCACAGAGCUGUCUGCAUUUCUCCCAAGCUGAAACCUGCCUCUUCUGCAGUGGCAAGAUUUUGAAAUUGAAAGUUAAUCCAACUCUGCUCUGGGCUGGAUUAACCACCAUGGAGGCCUCAGAUCAAAACCCAGGCCCACGCUCUGGCGGAUGGCUGGCGGAGAGGAAUUGCGAUCAAUGGAGUAAAGGAGAGGCAUAGCUUUGCUUUGUGUUUCUCUACAGAGAUGUUUAGGUGUCACGGUGCUGAGGACAGUAUGCAAACGUAUAUAACAGAGCAGAUUAAUAACACCAUAGAUAUCUGUGCAGGACUGCAGCUGUCCUACGGGGAUUACGCUGAGGGCCAAGAGAACCUUUUCUUUCUUUAGACUUGCAAAGUAGGCAAAAAUUUUAGCAGCCUGAGGGGUUUUUCUUCCUUUUAACUGUUUAAAAUGGAAAAGUACCUUGAAGAGUGCAAUAAACCGG
rnacentral:lncRNA from 1 species